rnacentral:misc_RNA from 1 species
GAGAGAGAGAGAGAGAGAGAUGAAUGGAGAAAGAACAAACAGAGAAAUGUUUACAUGGUAUUUAAUAAAAACUGUUAGAAAAAAGAUAACUAUACUACAAUCUCAAGUAUAUUAUGCCUAAUUCAAAGGUAGGAUUGUCUCUUCUAAUCAUUAAUCCUUAUCACAUCCGAUCAUCCAUAAAUUGCUUUUUUCAGAGAAUUGUAAAGGAUAUUUGUUUCUUAAUACAUGAAAAAAAAAAUCAGUUUAAAUAGCAAUGAUUUUCCAGAAAUUGGUAAAUCAAAAAUGUAUCUAAGCUUUUAACAUAAUCUCUCAACUAUACCCCAAUGGAAAUUUUUUAGCAGGCAAUGAAAAAAUUUACAUAUAUAAUAGCAAAAGCAUUAUGCAGUAUUCUCCAAUUUUGCAUGUGACAGAAGAAAAGAAACAUAAAUAAACUGAGAAAAUAAGAGAAAGUAGCUUACCUUCUUCCGUAAUUAUCUGAUGUA